GUAAGGUCCUAAUUAAGUAACCACCUUUCAUGCUUUCCUAGACACCAAUUAGAUCAAUUAAUCUAAUAUGACUUGCUCAUGUCGGUUCACUCUCGACUUGAUUGAAGAGGUUUCAAUUUAGGUCUCAAUUGGGUUUGCUACAUCACAUGUAAGCCUAUCUACCCGACUCUCAUUCACAUCACAUGCAAACGGCACAUUGCAGGCAGUUAUAAUC
rnacentral:lncRNA from 1 species